rnacentral:rRNA from 1 species
AAUGAACGUUGGCGGCGUGGAUUAGGCAUGCAAGUCGUACGGGUCGGUGUAGCAAUACAACGGCAAGUGGCGAAAGGGAGAGUAACACGUAGAUACCUACCCUCUGGUCGGGGAUACCGCGGCAUAACCGCAAGUAAUACCCGAUAAAAUCUCCGGAUCAAAGGUGUGAUUCCGCCGGAGGAGGGGUCUGCGUUCUAUCAGCUUGUUGGUGAGGUAAUGGCUCACCAAGGCUAAGACGGAUACGGGGUGUGAGAGCAUGCCCCCGCUCACUGGGACUGAGACACGGCCCAGACACCUACGGGUGGCUGCAGUCGAGAAUCUUCGGCAAUGGGCGCAAGCCUGACCGAGCGACGCCGCGUGCGGGACGAAGGCCUUCGGGUUGUAAACCGCUGUCGAGGGGAAUGAAGUGUAGGUGGGUACUCCCAUCUAUUUGACAGAUCCCUGGAGGAAGCAUGGGCUAAGUUCGUGCCAGCCGCCGCGGUAAAAC